UGCGUAACGCGUAUGCAAUCUACCUUUUACAGAGGGAUAGCCCAGAGAAAUUUGGAUUAAUACCUCAUAGUAUAAUUGAAUGGCAUCAUGUUGAAAUUAUUAAAGUCACCAACGGUAAAAGAUGAGCCAUGCGUCCCAUUAGCUAGUUGGUAAUGGUAACGGCUUACCAAGGCGACGAUGGGUAGGGGUCCUGAGAGGGAGAUCCCCCUAGAACUGGUACUGAGACACGGACCAGACUCCUACGGGAGGCAGCAUGUGAGGAAUAUUGGUCAAUGGGCGCAAGCCUGAACCAGUCCUAUGCCCGCGUGCAGGAUGACUGGUCCUAUGGAUUGUAAACUGCUUUUAUACAGGAAGGAAACACUCCCUCGUGAGGGAGCUUGGACGGUACUGUAGGAAUAAAGGAUCGGCUAACUCCGUGCCAGCAGCCAGCGGUAAUACGGAGGAUCCUAAGCGUUAUCCCGGAAUCAUUGGGUUUAAAGGGUCCGUAGGCGGUCUAAUAAGUCAGUGGUGAAAUCCUUCCGCUUAACUGGGAGAACGGCCAUUGAUACUUGUUGAAGGACUUGAAUUGAAUUAGGAAGUAACUAGGAAUAUGUAGUG
rnacentral:rRNA from 1 species